GAUGAACGCUGGCGGCGUGCCUAAUACAUGCAAGUCGAGCGAACGGACGAGAAGCUUGCUUCUCUGAUGUUAGCGGCGGACGGGUGAGUAACACGUGGAUAACCUACCUAUAAGACUGGGAUAACUUCGGGAAACCGUAGCUAAUACCGGAUAAUAUUUUGAACCAUAUGGUUCAAAAGUGAAAGACGGUCUUGCUGUCACUUAUAGAUGGAUCCGCGCUGCAUUAGCUAGUUGGUAAGGUAACGGCUUACCAAGGCAACGAUGCAUAGCCGACCUGAGAGGGUGAUCGGCCACACUGGAACUGAGACACGGUCCAGACUCCUACGGGAGGCAGCAGUAGGGAAUCUUCCGCAAUGGGCGAAAGCCUGACGGAGCAACGCCGCGUGAGUGAUGAAGGUCUUCGGAUCGUAAAACUCUGUUAUUAGGGAAGAACAUAUGUGUAAGUAACUGUGCACAUCUUGACGGUACCUAAUCAGAAAGCCACGGCUAACUACGUG
rnacentral:rRNA from 1 species